UCUACCCUUUUGGCGGUGCCAAUGGAGACACAAUUAAUCCCAAAUCAGAUGAUGGUGGAUCAUGUUUGAUUGAGAUUUCAAUGAGCAUUUCACUGUUUGGAGAAACAUACAACAAGCUUUAUGUCAGCAAUAAUGGCUUGAUUUCAUUCAAUGAAGAAUUCACUUCCUUUAUCCCCAACUUAUUCCCAUUACCUACUACCCAUACUAUCAUUGCACCAUUCUGGACAGAUCUGGACAACAGAGUUAGUGGAACUGUUUCUUACAGAGAAAGCAACGACCCACAGCUUCUCCAGCGGGCAACUCAAGACAUCAACAAACAUUGCCACUGCCUGGACUUUAAUGCCAUCUGGGUUUUUGUUGCCACAUGGGACAAGGUGCCAUAUAUUUCAAGUGCACAAACGAAGAACACAUUCCAGGCUGUUUUAAUCACAAACGGACACAAUUCCUUCAUUAUUAUGAACUAUGGAUAUAUAGAUGUGACAACUCAAAAUGUUCUGGUAAAGACUUUAUAUUUGUAUCCUCAAAGCAUAUUAAGGUGCUGGUCAACAAAAUCUAGGCACAUUAAAAAACACAACAUGGUGUUGCUAUAACAAAUACAAGUUAUUUUUCAAAGUAAUGUUCUACCUGAAUGCCGUUGGGGGUGCACAUAUAGCAUACAUACAUUGCAAUAAGAAGUACUGGGGAUUGUCAGAAGUGUUCAUCAGGUAUGGUUUCUAAAGCACAUCUAAAAUAUAGACAGCAGUUCAGAUAACCUGCCAUGUAUAGCCAUGUAAUGACAUUGUAAUUACCACUGGCUUCUGCUCUUACACAGUAAUUACUCAUAUAAUAGAUUUAUCAUCAUAACCAUUACUGCCAGUUAAUGAAUCACCUGCAGGUCAUUUAAACUAUCAUAAAGAAUUAUGCAUUCCCCUAAAAUAUUACUGCAAAAUGAAUACAAGAUCUUUCUAAUUCAAGGACCAAAUACAUUUAACUAGGCAUAUGAGAGGUGGACCAUACUAUUAGGUAAAUGUCACAUUGUUCUGAAUAACUGAUUUUCUUUUUCAUCUGACUUCCAGGCUGGAUAUGAAAGCAAAAAUGUAUUUUUCAACAUUCCUGGUUCCAUGCAAUCUACCAUUACAAAAAUCAAUUCAACCAGCAAUGUGAACUAUCCAGGGCGCUGGGUGUUCCCCACUGAUGUAGGAGGUGCAUACAGUGAUGUCAGUCCCCACAGAGUCUAUUCAGUCUCCAUGUGGAGAAG